CUGGGGUUGAGGCUACCCAGCCAGACGCCCAGUGCCCUUUCUUCUUCCCAAAGCCACCAAAACAUGGCAUCAAAGAUCUUCUGUUGCUGCUGCAAGGCCAGUGAGGGGGGUUCCAACACUGUGGUCUCCUACAGCCCAAGAAUGUCCCAACAACAUCAUCCACGGACCUUUGAACUGAAUGCCGACUCUUACCAAAGUAGUUUGCAAAAGAGACACCCACACCGCUACCAAAACAACUGGGUAGCAACCAAGGCAUGCAACCUUGGGCGACCCUGAAGAUUCUAGUCUGUGGCGCCCCCACAGGUCUCUGGCUGCACAGCUGUGGAGGGUCUCAGUGAGAAGAAGGGCAGUGGACAGGAGUCAUGAAGACGAAUUCAGAAACUCCCUGCAGGAGGAGAAGACGUCGGAGUCAUCCCUGUGCCACCUGCUGGAGCCCCACCAGCUCCUGACAUAGCCAGGGUAGGAGGAGCUGUCUCCAAUUAAAGUCCUUGGUCGCAUCAGA